rnacentral:rRNA from 1 species
AGCGAACGCUGGCGGCAGGCCUAACACAUGCAAGUCGAACGGAUCCUUCGGGAUUAGUGGCGGACGGGUGAGUAACACGUGGGAACGUGCCCAUUGGUUCGGAACAACUCAGGGAAACUUGAGCUAAUACCGGAUGUGCCCUUCGGGGGAAAGACUUAUCGCCAUUGGAGCGGCCCGCGUCUGAUUAGCUAGUUGGUGAGGUAAAGGCUCACCAAGGCGACGAUCAGUAGCUGGUCUGAGAGGAUGAUCAGCCACAUUGGGACUGAGACACGGCCCAAACUCCUACGGGAGGCAGCAGUGGGGAAUCUUGCGCAAUGGGCGAAAGCCUGACGCAGCCAUGCCGCGUGAAUGAUGAAGGUCUUAGGAUUGUAAAAUUCUUUCACCGGGGACGAUAAUGACGGUACCCGGAGAAGAAGCCCCGGCUAACUUCGUGCCAGCCGCCGCAGUAACAC